rnacentral:lncRNA from 10 species
AGGCAACAUCAGUUGCACCACAGAGAUGGCUAGAAUUAAUCAGAUUCACACAGCAAGUCCUGACACUUGAUGGCUUAAUUAGGGUGAUUACGGGUAGGCUUUUAAAAUUCUGCUUUGUCAGCAGAUGACCCAAUAAAAUGUUACCGUAAAGAGCUUGUUCCCACCCCACCCCAGCCCAGGAGGAGCUCAAAACCUGGACUGUAGUUAGUAUAUUAAUAAUGUUUGUGAUGUGGUUGGCAAAAUAUUUUGUAAUGAUGUGCUUAUAAAAGUUGCUUUAGGAGGUAAUGGCAGCAGGUCAGGUUUUUCUUUACCUUGUAGGAAGUUACAGCUAACUCUUUUUGUGAUACAAAAAGACAUGUCUAUACCUAUAUAUAAUGCAUAUAUGUAUAUGCUUUAUUUCAGGGGGGCAUGAAAAGAGAUUUAUGACAGAACAUUUUUGUCAGUGUUUUUAUCCUAGCUUGAUGUGCUCACAAAUAACUGGUUUUUUUUCCAGAAGGAAAUAACUAAUAAACUAUGAUGUGUAUCAUUAGCAACAACCAAAACACAAUGGAGGUAUUAUGUAUAGAAGGAGAGUAGAACGAAGUUGUUAGAUUGGUGACUCUAUUUUGUUUUGUUUUUGUUUGUAAUUGUAGACUUGUAAAUAUUGAACUAUCAUGGAGCUGAAGAACGAAUAGGAGAGAAUAAUUCUUCUCACUGAAUGUUCAACAUAAAUAUAAUAUAAAAAGGUGCACCAUUCUAAGACACUAAAAUGUUUCAGAGCAACAACUAUUGGGAGAAUAUAUUCACUAGUCCUUCAAUAUGGGUGUGUAGCUUAUGCUAAUUUCACUGGGGAUCCUCAAGUAUAUAAUCUGUUUAAUUUGGAAUAUCUAAAAUUAAGUGAUGACUCUUUUUUUUUGAGACAGGGUCUUGCUGUGUCACCCACCUCAAGCAAUCCUCCCACCUCAGCCUCCUGAGUAGCUGGGACAACAUGCAUGUGCCAUCAUGCGCAGCUAAUUUUUGUAUUUUUUUAUAGAGAUGGGGUUUCACCAUGUUGCCCAGGCUGUUCCUGAACUCCUGGGCUCAAGCCAUCCACCCACCUUGGCCUCUCAAAGUACUGAGAUUUACAGGUGUGAGCCACUACACCCAGCCAAAGUGAUGACUCUUUAUUUUGGAAGUAUUUAUU